UUUGGUCGCCAACGAGUGGCGGACGGGUGAGUAACACGUAGGUAACCUGCCCAGAAGCGGGGGACAACAUUUGGAAACAGAUGCUAAUACCGCAUAACAGCGUUGUUCGCAUGAACAACGCUUAAAAGAUGGCUUCUCGCUAUCACUUCUGGAUGGACCUGCGGUGCAUUAGCUUGUUGGUGGGGUAACGGCCUACCAAGGCGAUGAUGCAUAGCCGAGUUGAGAGACUGAUCGGCCACAAUGGGACUGAGACACGGCCCAUACUCCUACGGGAGGCAGCAGUAGGGAAUCUUCCACAAUGGGCGCAAGCCUGAUGGAGCAACACCGCGUGAGUGAAGAAGGGUUUCGGCUCGUAAAGCUCUGUUGUUAAAGAAGAACACGUAUGAGAGUAACUGUUCAUACGUUGACGGUAUUUAACCAGAAAGUCACGGCUAACUACGUGCCAGCAGCCGCGGUAAUACGUAGGUGGCAAGCGUUAUCCGGAUUUAUUGGGCGUAAAGAGAGUGCAGGCGGUUUUCUAAGUCUGAUGUGAAAGCCUUCGGCUUAACCGGAGAAGUGCAUCGGAAACUGGAUAACUUGAGUGCAGAAAGAGGGUAGUGGAACUCCAUGUGUAGCGGUGGAAUGCGUAGAUAUAUGGAAGAACACCAGUGGCGAAGGCGGCUACCUGGUCUGCAACUGACGCUGAGACUCGAAAGCAUGGGUAGCGAACAGGAUUAGAUACCCUGGUAGUCCAUGCCGUAAACGAUGAGUGCUAGGUGUUGGAGGGUUUCCGCCCUUCAGUGCCGGAGCUAACGCAUUAAGCACUCCGCCUGGGGAGUACGACCGCAAGGUUGAAACUCAAAGGAAUUGACGGGGGCCCGCACAAGCGGUGGAGCAUGUGGUUUAAUUCGAAGCUACGCGAAGAACCUUACCAGGUCUUGACAUCUUGCGCCAACCCUAGAGAUAGGGCGUUUCCUUCGGGAACGCAAUGACAGGUGGUGCAUGGUCGUCGUCAGCUCGUGUCGUGAGAUGUUGGGUUAAGUCCCGCAACGAGCGCAACCCUUGUUACUAGUUGCCAGCAUUAAGUUGGGCACUCUAGUGAGACUGCCGGUGACAAACCGGAGGAAGGUGGGGACGACGUCAGAUCAUCAUGCCCCUUAUGACCUGGGCUACACACGUGCUACAAUGGACGGUACAACGAGUCGCGAACUCGCGAGGGCAAGCAAAUCUCUUAAAACCGUUCUCAGUUCGGACUGCAGGCUGCAACUCGCCUGCACGAAGUCGGAAUCGCUAGUAAUCGCGGAUCAGCAUGCCGCGGUGAAUACGUUCCCGGGCCUUGUACACACCGCCCGUCACACCAUGAGAGUUUGUAACACCCAAAGUCGGUGGGGUAACCUUUUAGGAGCCAGCCGCCUAAGGUGGGACAGAUGAUUAGG
rnacentral:rRNA from 1 species